ACAGUUCAAAUAGGGAGAUGGUGAUGUUGGUGAUAGUAUGUGAUAGUGAGGCUACAACCAUUACACAAUAAUGAUUAUACUUUGCAUUCAGUUCGGUAUAUCCAUUGUUGAACACACACAAGCACAUGUACCACGUAAUAUUUAGACACUAGUUGAUAAGAUUUGAUAAGUGAAAAGUGCCUCAAGUAUAAAUUAUAGACACUGUUUCGUCAGUGUCCAUGAUUUAGAAGCCCUCAGGCACUUGUAUAGUACCCUGGCUAUGCUCGGGAUACUGACUAAAGCAGUACUGGCCUUUGAGCUUCUAAAUUCCAUAUUGAUUAUAGACACCUCCAAAACAGUGUCUAUAAUUACAUAGCGUACGAACAAUGCUAAUAACUUGUUUGAUGUGUCAGGAUCAACGGACUGCUCUGAUGUUGGCUGCCUGCAGUGGUUCUCUGGAGAUGGUCUCUCUGUUCCUUGAGAAAGGUGCCGACGUUAACCUCCGGGAUAAGGACGGCCUAACAGCUCUGGACAUUGCUAAAGAGGCGGGGUUCACUGAACUUAAUGGCGUUGCUGGGGAAACACUCCAAAUCAAAAUAUAAACGAUAACAACAGUCUCUAGGAUUGUAGAUUUUAUCAAUGAUCAUGUGCCCAUUUUUUGUAUCUCUUUUAUCAUUCUGUGUGGAGUGCAUCCAUUUUAAGUGUAUUCACGGAUUGAGGUGUGACCGA